rnacentral:rRNA from 1 species
UGGGGAAUAUUGCACAAUGGGCGCAAGCCUGAUGCAGCCAUGCCGCGUGUAUGAAGAAGGCCUUCGGGUUGUAAAGUACUUUCAGUCGGGAGGAAGGUGGUAAGGUUAAUAACCUUAUCAAUUGACGUUACCGACAGAAGAAGCACCGGUUAACUCCGUGCCAGCAGCCGCGGUAAUACGGAGGGUGCAAGCGUUAAUCGGAAUUACUGGGCGUAAAGCGCACGCAGGCGGUUGAUUGAGUCAGAUGUGAAAUCCCCGGGCUUAACCCGGGAAUUGCAUCUGAUACUGGUCAGCUAGAGUCUUGUAGAGGGGGGUAGAAUUCCAUGUGUAGCGGUGAAAUGCGUAGAGAUGUGGAGGAAUACCGGUGGCGAAGGCGGCCCCCUGGACAAAGACUGACGCUCAGGUGCGAAAGCGUGGGGAGCAAACAGG